GUGAAGUAUUGCAUGAGUAGGUGGAGAAAGACUGUCACUUGGAAAGCUGAAAUCAUGGAGAAGGAAGAAGCAGCCGCAAAGCUGGAUACUGAAAGCGAGAAUAUCCCCAGCAGCCAGCCUGCUCCACCAGCCCAAAACAUGCAGCCAGAGGAGAAGGAGCCUCCGCCAAAACCUGUCGCUAACGAGAACACCAGCCUGGUGCACGGACCCGGGGACAAGAAG